rnacentral:rRNA from 1 species
UACAGAGGUCUCAAGCGUUGUUCGGAUUCAUUGGGCGUAAAGGGUGCGUAGGCGGCGCGGUAAGUCGGGUGUGAAAUCUCGGAGCUUAAGUCCUCGAAACUGCAUUCGAUACUGCCGUGCUUGAGGACUGGAGAGGAGACUGGAAUUUACGGUGUAGCGGUGAAAUGCGUAGAUAUCGUAAGGAAGACCAGUGGCGAAGGCGGGUCUCUGGACAGUUCCUGACGCUGAGGCACGAAGGUCAGGGGAGCAAACGGG